rnacentral:rRNA from 1 species
UACGGAGGGUGCAAGCGUUAACCGGAAUUACUGGGCGUAAAGCGUGCGUAGGCGGUUAUUUAAGUCAGGUGUGAAAGCCCCGGGCUCAACCUGGGAAUUGCAUUUGAGACUGAAUAGCUAGGGUGCGGAAGAGGGAAGCGGAAUUUCCGGUGUAGCGGUGAAAUGCGUAGAUAUCGGAAGGAACACCAGUGGCGAAGGCGGGUGUCGGGGCCGAUACUGACGCUGAGGAGCGAAAGCGUGGGGAGCGAACAGG